rnacentral:tRNA from 1 species
GCAGUCGUGGCCGAGUGGUCAAGGCGAUGGACUAGAAAUCCAUUGGGGUCUCCCCGCACAGGUUCGAAUCCUGUCGACUGCG